UGAUGUGUACGUGAAUCAUCGAAUCUUUGAAUGCAUCUUGCGCCUAAUUUAUGUUAGGCAUAUUUGUUUGAGUAACAUUUAUAAUCUUUACAUAUAAAUAUUGUAUGUGAUUGCCUCUUACAAGAAGAAAUUUUUGAGAGGUUAAAUUAAAGUUCUUGAUAACAUUGGUAAAAGACAGUUGUUCUUUCCAUGUUAAAAGUUAAGAAAUUAAAGAUUUUUUUGGCUUAGUUUUUUAUUAUUUAAUUAAAUUUCUUUGCCAAUUAAAUUAUAAAAGAAAAUAAUAAUGUUCUCAAAUCAAAUAAGAUUACCCGCUGAACUUAAGCAUAUCAAUAAGCGGAGG
rnacentral:rRNA from 1 species